rnacentral:ncRNA from 1 species
UGGUCCUAGCCUUGUAAUCAGUUAUUACUUAGUUUACACAUGCAAGUCUCCGCACCCCUGUGAGUAACCCCUUUUACCCAUAGUGAUAAGGGACUGGUAUCAGGCACAAACAUUAGCCCAAAACACCUAGUUAUGCCACACCCCCACGGGAAUUCAGCAGUGAUUAAUAUUGAGAAUAAGUGACAGCUUGACUCAGUUAAAGUAAAGAGAGCCGGCAAACCUGGUGCCAGCCGCCGCGGUUACACCAUACGGCUCAAAUUGAUUUCUUUCGGCGUAAAGUGUGGUCAAUGUUACAUUAAAAUUAUAGUUAAACUAAAAUUAGGCUGUAAUACGCUUAUAUUUGGGGAAACCAAAGACAAAAAGCUACUAUAAUAAAAACUACUUGAACCCACGACAGUUGAGGCUCAAACUGGGAUUAGAUACCCCACUAUGCUCAACCGUAAACUUUAAACUUACACCCAUAUCGCCAGGGGACUACGAGCAACACUUAAAACCCAAAGGACUUGACGGUACCCCACAUCUACCUAGAGGAGCCUGUCCUAUAACCGAUAAUCCCCGUUUAACCUCACCAUUUUUAGCCUAUCAGUCUGUAUACCUCCGUCGUCAGCUUACCACGUGAGUGACAUUUAGUAAGCUUAAUGCUCAUACAUCAAUACGUCAGGUCAAGGUGCAGCAUAUAAAAUGGGAAGAGAUGGGCUACACUCUCUAUCUUAGAAGACACGAAAGACUUUAUGAAAUCUAGUCAGAAGGCGGAUUUAGAAGUAAAAAGAGACGAGAGAGCUCUUUUUAACUUAGCACUGGGGUGUGUACACACCGCCCGUCACCCUCUUCGAAACUAACAAAAUAGUACUUAACACAUUAAGCCGCUAAAGAAGAGGUAAGUCGUAACAUGGUAAG